rnacentral:sRNA from 1 species
AUGGCCGACCCCGCUCCGAAUCGUCUCGGGAUUUGUUUAAUGAGACAUUCUUUUAUUUCUUGUUUGGGACGAUAUUUGACUUUUCAUCCUGACCUGAUGAACUUACGUUUAUAUCGCGAGCAGUACGAUGUGAUUUUCAGGGCCCGUAGUGGUUUGAGGAUCGCAAGUUUGGCAAAUUCUAAGGAUUUAUUGACUUUUGAGGUGACAUCUGAUAUUUGUUUUCUACAAGUUGAUAAAUCAUGCCACCAAAUAGAGGACAGCAAACAGAAGGCGGAGGGCGCCAAUUCAACCAGUGAAAGCACGGACACACAGUCUGUAACAGCCUUACAACCACAACCAUCAGCUUUUGACUACGAUAAGUUGGCCCUUGCUAUUAUCAAACACUCCACCCCAGUGAAUGAUGUGGAAAAAUCAGUCCAACAGGAAGUCUGGAAUAAUGAAUUCAUUGAUUUCCGCACUAUUUUGAGUACAAGAGAAGAACCAUUAAGUCUUCGGGUGUCAUUAACUUACAUCAGGGUCCUAAGUUUAAAACCCCAAUUUCCAUGGCUCAAUGGACUGAUGCUUUUUUCAUAUACGCAGCAGCAUACAUUGAGAAAUACCCAACAGAGGCCCCCUAUUUACUUAAAUAUGGGCACACGAUUAGAGAAAUUCACCGCUUCACGGUGAUAAUGCUUUUAGGUCAUAUGACGAACAGUUUCGAAAACUUUAGUAGUCCCUGAAUGUUCCGUGGCAGAACACAAUCCAAGAAUUGCGCCUAAAAGCUGCAACAAAUACAAGAACGUUCUCCCCUAAAAUUACACAAAAUUCAGGUCAGCCCUUUCAGUAGAUUAUGUUUUUAAUACAACAGGGGGGAACGCUGUACUAGAAAUCCAAUUUGCAAUUGAAUUGUUGCGUUUUUUAUAUUUUGUAUAUCCCACCCUUUUUUGAUGAUUGGUGUAUCAGGGCCAAACUUUUCUAUGUUUUUAUGUAGGGGGUCAGAUGCUAUAUUAUAUGUUGUCAAAUAUUUUGAAAAUGUAUCAGCGGUGUUUUUCUAGUCCCGUCUGACCCCCUCAAUAUUUACUGGGUUUUUUUUUGUACAUUUUUGUCAUUUAUUUGAAUAAAUGGCCUAUUUUCAUCUUCAACUAUGUUCUGUGUUUCGAUUUUCAUCAAAAGAUCUAGUGCAGUCGUCUUGUCUCUUAAUUACAAAGGAACAUCAAAUAGUUAUUAUUAUUAACAGAUAAUAAUACCCUUUAUGUGGCGUGUUAUUUUAUUUCAUGUAUGUCUUUAUCUACAUGUAAAUCUUUAAAUGUUUAAUGUUUCUGUAGGUUCAUCUGAAAUGUUUGACGACAAG